CACCAGGUAGCUCAAUUGGUAGAGCGUCCGUCUCGAGUUCGGACGGUCCCGGGUUCAAACCCCGGUCUAGCCG